GUUUACCUGACAGCCUGGACAAAUGUGCUGUGUGAAGGAUGUAAAUCAAAUCAGAUCUUAACUGCUUACAUUUAAGGAGCCUGGUCAUAUUUAAUUGUAAUAUGAACCAAUGAUUUUCUGAUUGCUGAUUCCAAGAGAGUCUUUGUGGAAAUCCUGUUUGGCUUUUUGUCAUUUUAAUUCUCUUUUCCGUUUUCCAGAACAGUUCGCCACAGUCGCUGUCCACAUGGGUCAGUGGGACCAAGCAGCACUGUGCUAAUGUGGGACUCUGACCAGCAACAUCCAGCAAGACCCAGGCAGCGUUUUCUAUCUCCCAGCUGGAGUUUUUUUGUUUGUGACGGGAGAGUCAGAUUUUUGUUGAAGCUGGAGGAACAGCCUCACAGUUGCAGAGGUUAAUACACUCUACUGAUCCCUGAUGGGAGAAUCAUCACCUCUGCCAACAAAGAAGCCUGGUGGAUAUUUGUUUACAGUCUGAUGAUGGGACAUCAUGCUCUGCAUCUUCAAAGUUUGUCUCUUGAUUAUUAUUCAUACACAGUAAUGUGAAGUAUGCUUAUAUCUAGUAUAACUGGACCAACCUGGUGCUCUUCAUUUAUGGAGGCUGUUGAGUCUGAAUGUUGGAUGUUGUGUGUCUCGUGUUCUCUGGGCUUUGUUGUCCUCAGUCUGUUUGAAGGAUCAGAAAACAAAACCAGGAUGACCGUAAAUGUUUCUUCUCCAAUUGGAUGAUGAUAAGACUGUGACACGGGAUGCCACCUUUAGUCUUGUGAUGAAGCAAAGCUCAGGAAGAAGUGUGAUUAAAUGGUACCCACAUGUGUGCUGCUGAGAAGGAUGUACAGGGGCACCUGCAGCCAAAUCCAAGCCUCCUCAGCAACUUCAGGUCUGUCAGCGUGCUGAGGUCACAGAAACAAGAAAAGCAGUUUGACUUCAGAGUGUUGUUUACAGUUUUCUGUCAUCAUGAUCUCCCCUGAAGUUUAUCACUAUUAGGCAAGCAAGCAGAGUGGCAGUUUGUGCUCACAGAUGGUGACGGUGUGGAGAGACGGUGGUGUUUCCUCAGAAGAAUUAGCAGAGUCACCAAGGGCACGAGUCCAUCUCACCACCUUGACUUGUUGAUCAGUGGAUACACUUGUCUCCCCUUUAAAGGAGAUACUCUUAGAGAGAGACGAUCAGAGUCAUCCUUAAAUGUUAGUGCUUUCAAAUACACAAACAUUUUUAAAGGACAAAAAUGAACAUCCAACUUUGACUGUAAUACAAUUAAAUCUUUGCAUGUGUGUUUUCAAACUCUCAGAUGGGCAGGAUAUCACUAUUAGACUGUCUAACCUGCCAGAGCAGCACUGAAUGACCACCACACAUGAUCAGUUCCUGCAACAUUCAGCAGCUCUGCUUUUGUGUCAAAUGUCCAACAGCUGGAGAGGAAACUACACCAGUGUACUGGGAUGUUUCACCAACACGUGCCAGAUGCUGUUCCUUCAUGGUGACAUCACCAGAGACGGCCCCGCCCACCUCAUGACCUCGCCAUUGAUCAUGAUGAUUUUAAUGAUGACAGCGAGCGGAACUAAGACUGUAAAAAUCAGAAUGUUUAGAUGCUUUCUAAUUAUUAAUGAAUACUGAGAGCCUCUUUCUGUGUUUUGUCUGUUUUGGGUUUUUUUACCUCAUUUGUUACUAACAAAGUUCACCAAACUCACACAGUUUACAUUCUGUAUGUUUCCAUCUUUACCAGCCACACUCUACCCGCAAUUAAGAAAAUAAUCCUUAGAAAUUGUCGUUUUUCUCUUUUGUAAUUUUGUAAUUCAGUGAAUAUACUGCGCUGCUUCCUUUUAUUGCGUCUCACAUUGCUUUAAGUUUUUCCAGUGUCCAGCUAUUUUUUACUGCUGUUUGAAUUCUGUGUAUGUUUGACCCUGUAGACUGUUUGAUGGACUGCUUGUCUUCCUGUUUGU